CUGCCAAAUUUUAUGAAUACUUUUCCAAAUUUAGAAACAACUUUGAAGGGAGAGGUGAGUGGCCAAUUCAAUAUCAGCUAGCAAAUGUAGACACCUCAAGUAUCAAAGUGUUCAAGUGUGGAGACACAUCCCUGGGAUAAUGUAGACUUGGAAUCUGUUUCUCUGUUGUCUAGUGAAACAAUGGUCAACAUCCUCCCUUGGUAGUAGUGGAGGAGGUUCAAAUGGUCG